rnacentral:rRNA from 1 species
GACGAACGCUGGCGGCGUGCCUAAUACAUGCAAGUCGAACGCAGUGGGGACGGGUGAGUAACACGUGGGUAACCUCCCAUCAGAGGGGAUAACACUUGGAAACAGGUGCUAAACCGAUACUGAUGGAUGGACCCGCGGUGCAUUGGCUAGUUGGUGAGGUAACGGCUCACCAAGGCCACGAUGCCUAGCCGCCCUGAGAGGGUGAUCGGCCACCCUGGGACGGAGAAAGGGCACAGACUCGUACGGGAGGGAGCAGUAGGGAAUCUUGGGCAAUGGACGAGAGUCUGACCGAGCAACGCCGCGUGAGUGAAGAAGGUUUUCGGAUCGUAAAACUCUGUUGUGAGAGAAGCGGUAUCUAACCAGAAAGCCACGGCUAACUACGAGCCAGCAGCCGCGGUAAUUC